GACGAACGCUGGCGGCGUGCUUAACACAUGCAAGUCGAACGGAAAGGCCCUGCUUUUGUGGGGUGCUCGAGUGGCGAACGGGUGAGUAACACGUGAGUAACCUGCCCUUGACUUUGGGAUAACUUCAGGAAACUGGGGCUAAUACCGGAUAGGAGCUCCUGCUGCAUGGUGGGGGUGGAAAUGUUUCGGCGGUUGGGGUUGGACUCGCGGCUUAUCAGCUUGUUGGUGGGGUAGUGGCUUACCAAGGCUUUGACGGGUAGCCGGCCUGAGAGGGUGACCGGCCACAUUGGGACUGAGAUACGGCCCAGACUCCUACGGGAGGCAGCAGUGGGGAAUAUUGCACAAUGGGCGGAAGCCUGAUGCAGCAACGCCGCGUGCGGGAUGACGGCCUUCGGGUUGUAAACCGCUUUCGCCUGUGACGAAGCGUGAGUGACGGUAAUGGGUAAAGAAGCACCGGCUAACUACGUG
rnacentral:rRNA from 1 species